UCCCUGGUGGUCCAGUGGCUAUGAUUCUGAGCUUCCCAUUCAGGGGACCCAGGUUCAAUCCCUGGUCAGGGAA
rnacentral:tRNA from 1 species